rnacentral:rRNA from 1 species
UCCUGGCUCAGAUUGAACGCUGGCGGCAUGCUUUACACAUGCAAGUCGAACGGUAACAGGUCUUCGGAUGCUGACGAGUGGCGAACGGGUGAGUAAUACAUCGGAACGUGCCUAGUAGUGGGGGAUAACUACUCGAAAGAGUAGCUAAUACCGCGUGAGAUCUACGGAUGAAAGCAGGGGACCUUCGGGCCUUGUGCUACUAGAGCGGCUGAUGGCAGAUUAGGUAGUUGGUGGGGUAAAGGCUUACCAAGCCUGCGAUCUGUAGCUGGUCUGAGAGGACGACCAGCCACACUGGGACUGAGACACGGCCCAGACUCCUACGGGAGGCAGCAGUGGGGAAUUUUGGACAAUGGGCGAAAGCCUGAUCCAGCAAUGCCGCGUGCAGGAUGAAGGCCCUCGGGUUGUAAACUGCUUUUGUACGGAACGAAAAGCCUGGGGCUAAUAUCCCCGGGUCAUGACGGUACCGUAAGAAUAAGCACCGGCUAACUACGUGCCAGCAGCCGCGGUAAUACGUAGGGUGCAAGCGUUAAUCGGAAUUACUGGGCGUAAAGCGUGCGCAGGCGGUUUUGUAAGACAGUGGUGAAAUCCCCGG